rnacentral:rRNA from 2 species
GUCGAGCGGACUUUAAAAGCUUGCUUUUAAAGUUAGCGGCGGACGGGUGAGUAACACGUGGGCAACCUGCCUGUAAGACUGGGAUAACUUCGGGAAACCGGAGCUAAUACCGGAUAAUCCUUUUCCUCUCAUGAGGAAAAGCUGAAAGACGGCAUCUCGCUGUCACUUACAGAUGGGCCCGCGGCGCAUUAGCUAGUUGGUGAGGUAACGGCUCACCAAGGCAACGAUGCGUAGCCAACCUGAGAGGGUGAUCGGCCACACUGGGACUGAAACACGGCCCAAACUCCUACGGGAGGCAGCAGUAGGGAAUCUUCCGCAAUGGACAAAAGUCUGACGGAGCAACGCCGCGUGAGUGAUGAAGGUUUUCGGAUCGUAAAGCUCUGUUGUUAGGGAAAAACAAGUACAAAAGUAACUGCUUGUACCUUGACGGUACCUAACCAGAAAGCCACGGCUAACUACGUGCCAGCAGCCGCGGUAAUACGUAGGUGGCAAGCGUUGUCCGGAAUUAUUGGGCGUAAAGCGCGCGCAGGCGGUCCUUUAAGUCUGAUGUGAAAGCCCACGGCUCAACCGUGGAGGGUCAUUGGAAACUGGGGGACUUGAGUGCARAARAGAARAGUGGAAUUCCACGUGUAGCGGUGAAAUGCGUAGAGAUGUGGAGGAACACCAGUGGCGAAGGCGACUCUUUGGUCUGUAACUGACGCUGAGGCGCGAAAGCGUGGGGAGCAAACAGGAUUAGAUACCCUGGUAGUCCACGCCGUAAACGAUGAGUGCUAAGUGUUAGAGGGUUUCCGCCCUUUAGUGCUGCAGCAAACGCAUUAAGCACUCCGCCUGGGGGAGUACGGCCGCAAGGCUGAAACUCAAAGGAAUUGACGGGG